rnacentral:misc_RNA from 1 species
UAAAAGGGGCUCUAACAACUGAGCUACAAGCCCUCCGGGAUAAACCGGAAACCUUCCCCGGUAUCAUCUUAAAUCACUGGAAAAGCUUAGAAUGCUUUCUUCAUAAAGCCUUUUUUAAAUGCAUGCUCUUUAAGGGACAAAAGAAUUUAAAGAGUAUCUCUACGCCCGUUUUUUUUGAAAAGCAGGCUAGGCUUUAUUUUAAGAGAUCGCCAGAAGGCUUGGGAUCAUCAUCUGAAGAAAGAGAAACGAAGACGGCAUGUCCGGUUUUUUUUGGACCACCCCUGGACCCCAAUCCCUUCAAAAAUUCCUCUAAUCCAAGGAAGGGCCCCCAAAAAACCGGGGGGGGAGCCCCUUUGUUUCAAAAAAGGGGGCUCUUUUUUGGGAGAGAGGUUCUUUGAGAGAUAUCGCCUYAUGCGCACUUUAAACAAACACAUGUUUAAACUUUUUGUCUCUUGAGAACCCAAAGGGAGGGGGUUUUUUUAACCAAARCCCCCCCACUUGAUCAUCCUUAUAAAGGAGGGGAGCCCCCACCGGGGSUCCCCACACAA